rnacentral:rRNA from 1 species
UUAAGCGACUAAGCGUACACGGUGGAUGCCCUGGCAGUCAGAGGCGAUGAAGGACGUGCUAAUCUGCGAAAAGCGUCGGUAAGGUGAUAUGAACCGUUACAGCCGGCGAUGUCCGAAUGGGGAAACCCAGUGCAAUUCGUUGCACUAUCGUUAACUGAAUACAUAGGUUAACGAAGCGAACCGGGGGAACUGAAACAUCUAAGUACCCCGAGGAAAAGAAAUCAACCGAGAUUCCCCCAGUAGCGGCGAGCGAACGGGGAGCAGCCCAGAGUCUGAAUCAGCUUGUGUGUUAGUGGAACGGUCUGGAAAGUCCGACGGUACAGGGUGAUAGUCCCGUACACCAAAAUGCACAGGCUGUGAACUCGAAGAGUAGGGCGGGACACGUGGUAUCCUGUCUGAAUAUGGGGGGACCAUCCUCCAAGGCUAAAUACUCCUGACUGACCGAUAGUGAACCAGUACCGUGAGGGAAAGGCGAAAAGAACCCCGGCGAGGGGAGUGAAAAAGAACCUGAAACCGUGUACGUACAAGCAGUGGGAGCACCUUCGGGUGUGACUGCGUACCUUUUGUAUAAUGGGUCAGCGACUUAUAUUCUGUAGCAAGGUUAACCGUAUAGGGGAGCCGCAGGGAAACCGAGUCUUAACUGGGCGUUAAGUUGCAGGGUAUAGACCCGAAACCCGGUGAUCUAGCCAUGGGCAGGUUGAAGGUUGGGUAACACUAACUGGAGGACCGAACCGACUAAUGUUGAAAAAUUAGCGGAUGACUUGUGGCUGGGGGUGAAAGGCCAAUCAAACCGGGAGAUAGCUGGUUCUCCCCGAAAGCUAUUUAGGUAGCGCCUCGUGAACUCAUCUUCGGGGGUAGAGCACUGUUUCGGCUAGGGGGUCAUCCCGACUUACCAACCCGAUGCAAACUACGAAUACCGAAGAAUGUUAUCACGGGAGACACACGGCGGGUGCUAACGUCCGUCGUGAAGAGGGAAACAACCCAGACCGCCAGCUAAGGUCCCAAAGUCAUGGUUAAGUGGGAAACGAUGUGGGAAGGCACAGACAGCCAGGAUGUUGGCUUAGAAGCAGCCAUCAUUUAAAGAAAGCGUAAUAGCUCACUGGUCGAGUCGGCCUGCGCGGAAGAUGUAACGGGGCUAAACCAUGCACCGAAGCUGCGGCAGCGACACUAUGUGUUGUUGGGUAGGGGAGCGUUCUGUAAGCCUGCGAAGGUGUGCUGUGAGGCAUGCUGGAGGUAUCAGAAGUGCGAAUGCUGACAUAAGUAACGAUAAAGCGGGUGAAAAGCCCGCUCGCCGGAAGACCAAGGGUUCCUGUCCAACGUUAAUCGGGGCAGGGUGAGUCGACCCCUAAGGCGAGGCCGAAAGGCGUAGUCGAUGGGAAACAGGUUAAUAUUCCUGUACUUGGUGUUACUGCGAAGGGGGGACGGAGAAGGCUAUGUUAGCCGGGCGACGGUUGUCCCGGUUUAAGCAUGUAGGCUGGUUAUCCAGGCAAAUCCGGAUAAUCAAGGCUGAGGUGUGAUGACGAGGCACUACGGUGCUGAAGUAACAAAUGCCCUGCUUCCAGGAAAAGCCUCUAAGCAUCAGGUAACAUCAAAUCGUACCCCAAACCGACACAGGUGGUCAGGUAGAGAAUACCAAGGCGCUUGAGAGAACUCGGGUGAAGGAACUAGGCAAAAUGGUGCCGUAACUUCGGGAGAAGGCACGCUGGUGUGUAGGUGAAGUCCCUGCGGAUGGAGCUGAGACCAGUCGAAGAUACCAGCUGGCUGCAACUGUUUAUUAAAAACACAGCACUGUGCAAACACGAAAGUGGACGUAUACGGUGUGACGCCUGCCCGGUGCCGGAAGGUUAAUUGAUGGGGUUAUCCGUAAGGAGAAGCUCUUGAUCGAAGCCCCGGUAAACGGCGGCCGUAACUAUAACGGUCCUAAGGUAGCGAAAUUCCUUGUCGGGUAAGUUCCGACCUGCACGAAUGGCGUAAUGAUGGCCAGGCUGUCUCCACCCGAGACUCAGUGAAAUUGAACUCGCUGUGAAGAUGCAGUGUACCCGCGGCAAGACGGAAAGACCCCGUGAACCUUUACUAUAGCUUGACACUGAACAUUGAGCCUUGAUGUGUAGGAUAGGUGGGAGGCUUUGAAGCGUGGACGCCAGUCUGCGUGGAGCCAACCUUGAAAUACCACCCUUUAAUGUUUGAUGUUCUAACGUUGGCCCCUGACCGGGGUUGCGGACAGUGUCUGGUGGGUAGUUUGACUGGGGCGGUCUCCUCCCAAAGCGUAACGGAGGAGCACGAAGGUUAGCUAAUCCUGGUCGGACAUCAGGAGGUUAGUGCAAUGGCAUAAGCUAGCUUGACUGCGAGCGUGACGGCGCGAGCAGGUGCGAAAGCAGGUCAUAGUGAUCCGGUGGUUCUGAAUGGAAGGGCCAUCGCUCAACGGAUAAAAGGUACUCCGGGGAUAACAGGCUGAUACCGCCCAAGAGUUCAUAUCGACGGCGGUGUUUGGCACCUCGAUGUCGGCUCAUCACAUCCUGGGGCUGAAGUAGGUCCCAAGGGUAUGGCUGUUCGCCAUUUAAAGUGGUACGCGAGCUGGGUUUAGAACGUCGUGAGACAGUUCGGUCCCUAUCUGCCGUGGGCGCUGGAGAAUUGAGGGGGGCUGCUCCUAGUACGAGAGGACCGGAGUGGACGCAUCACUGGUGUUCGGGUUGUCAUGCCAAUGGCACUGCCCGGUAGCUAAAUGCGGAAGAGAUAAGUGCUGAAAGCAUCUAAGCACGAAACUUGCCCCGAGAUGAGUUCUCCCUGAGACUUUAAGUCUCCUGAAGGAACGUUAAAGACGAUGACGUUGAUAGGCCGGGUGUGUAAGCGCAGCGAUGCGUUGAGCUAACCGGUACUAAUGAACCGUGAGGCUUAACCU